rnacentral:rRNA from 1 species
UACGGAGGGUGCAAGCGUUGCCCGGAUUUAUUGGGUUUAAAGGGUGCGUAGGCGGUUAAUUAAGUCAGUGGUGAAAUCCUGGAGCUCAACUUCAGAACUGCCAUUGAUACUGGUUGACUUGAGUACAGACGAGGUUGGCGGAAUUGAUGGUGUAGCGGUGAAAUGCAUAGAUACCAUCAAGAACACCGAUUGCGAAGGCAGCUAACUAGGCUGUAACUGACGCUGAGGCACGAAAGUGUGGGGAUCAAACAGG